GUUAGCUACCAGGCCCCAAGUGAUGAUUGGUAUAAUAAAGGUGGCGAGGAGGUAAACGAAGAUGAGAGCGCAGAGGAUGACGGAAAUCAUUUCUUUUAUCAAAUGUGGUAAGCAAACAAUGCGUACAGUAAAUAAUUCAAUGUUGUAAUUCAGAAAACUCUCAAGUUGUUGGGACGCUGCUGUGAAGUUGCUAUAUAAUAUAUUGCUGCUGAAAUUUCUGUUACACGUGUUCUGUGUAACAUCGGACACUAUGGGGUAGCCCACAUUCAAGUACUAUUUAAAAAAC